ACGCUUGCGAUGUGCCUAAUGUAUGCAAGUCGAACGAUUCCUGUAUCUUCGGAUACAGGGAGUGGCAAACGGCUGAGUAACGCGUAGGAACCUACCCCAAACUCGAGUAUAGCCCCGCGAAAGCGGGGGUAAUCCUCGAUAGUCCGUGAAGUAUUUUACUUCACGGUAAAGCUUUUGCGGUUUGGGAUGGGCCUGCGUCCUAUCAGGUAGUUGGUGAGGUAAGUGCUCACCAAGCCUAUGACGGGUAGCUGGUCUGAGAGGAUGGUCAGCCAGACUGGGACUGCGACACGGCCCAGACUCCUACGGGAGGCAGCAACUAGGAAUUGUGCGCAAUGGACGAAAGUCUGACGCCGCGACAUCGCGUGGAGGAUGAAGGUCUUCGGAUUGUAAACUCCUUUUCUUACCGAACAAGUUCUGAGUGUAGGUAAGGAAUAAGUGCCUGCUAACCACGUGCCAGAAGCAUCGGUAAUACGUGGGGCACGAGCGUUAUCCGGAUUUACUGGGCGUAAAGAGAAGCGUAGGCGGCUCAAUAAGUUUGGUGUUAAAUCUUCCGGCUCAACCGGAAACAAGCACCGAAAACUAUCGAGAUUGAGUCGAGUAGGGAAGAGGGGAAUUCCUGGUGGAGCGGUUAAAUGCGUAGAUAUCAGGAGGAAUACCAAGGGCGAAGGCACCUCUUUGGACUCGUACUGACGCUGAGGCUCGAAAGCGUGGGUAGCAAAACGGAUUAGAUACCCGUAUAGUCCACGCCGUAAACGAUCCCUGUUAGAUGUAUG
rnacentral:rRNA from 1 species